GAGAAAUUCGAUUAAUGGUAAAUCACUGACUUUACACGUCAUAGCCAAUGGUUCGAAUCCAUUAUUUCUCA
rnacentral:tRNA from 1 species